UACGAAGGGGGCUAGCGUUGCUCGGAAUUACUGGGCGUAAAGCGCACGUAGGCGGCUUUCUAAGUCGGGGGUGAAAUCCUGGAGCUCAACUCCAGAACUGCCUUCGAUACUGGAAAGCUCGAGUCCGGGAGAGGUGAGUGGAACUGCGAGUGUAGAGGUGAAAUUCGUAGAUAUUCGCAAGAACACCAGUGGCGAAGGCGGCUCACUGGCCCGGUACUGACGCUGAGGUGCGAAAGCUAGGGUAGCAAACAGG
rnacentral:rRNA from 1 species